rnacentral:lncRNA from 1 species
UUUUCUUAACAACACAGCUUAGUAUAUCAAAAUAGGUGAUAGUCACAUAUACAUAUUGAUUACAUGACAAGAGAAGAUAUUAUACAGAUGUAGGAAGAUAUAGUCGAUAUGGAUGGCGGCAUAUUGAUAAAAUAGGUCGAUAGUUAUCUAGGCCUAUUGAUAUCUCUGAGAUUGACGUUCUGGUCGCCUUGUAAAGCCUUUUUCUUUUUUAUUUUCAGCUGUUUGAGACUAUUAUGUACUUCUUUCAGACUGUUUUUUAUUUAAUAAAAUGACUGCAUGCAUCACUCGAUGCAGAGGCCGGGGCGAUGCCUCCUUUUUGAAAAAAAAGGAACUUAUGGGAAUAGAAGACAUUGGGAAUAGUGGUGGCACCAAAAGUAAAGCAGCACUGAGACAAAUACUAGAUGAUAGAUUUUUACGAUGGUGAAAUGUUACUCAGUUCUUUUGUUCCGUUUUAUUUACGAACCUAUGUUGUACUAAUAAUGUUUGUGGCAGCUGCCCUGCGUUGGUGAAUUGGAUGGACAUCUGUGUCGUAAGAAACAGGAAAAUAGAUCAUCUUUUUCAUCUCCUGUAUUUCUUUUUCGGUUAUAGUAAAGAAAAGAAAAACAAACUUCAAAACAGAGGAUGAUCAAACUCGUGACUCGUGGCAUAAUAGUUGUCUUAUUAGAUGUUUUUUUCUCGAAGAAGGUAAUGUCCUUACUGCAACCGGCCCGAGCACCCCUAGUAGCAUUGUUGAAAGCAGAAUUGUGCCAAGUAGGCAGUAGCAAC